rnacentral:rRNA from 1 species
GAUGAACGCUAGCGAUAGGCUUAACACAUGCAAGUCGAGGGGCAGCAUGGUCUUAGCUUGCUAAGACUGAUGGCGACCGGCGCACGGGUGCGUAACGCGUAUGCAACUUGCCUCACAGAGGGGGAUAACCCGUCGAAAGACGGACUAAUACCGCGUACACUUACCGGAGGGCAUCCUUCAGUAAGGAAAUGAAUUUCGCUGUGAGAUAGGCAUGCGUCCCAUUAGCUAGUUGGUGAGGUAACGGCUCACCAAGGCGACGAUGGGUAGGGGACACUGAGAGGUUGAACCCCCACACUGGUACUGAGACACGGACCAGACUCCUACGGGAGGCAGCAGUGAGGAAUAUUGGUCAAUGGGCGAGAGCCUGAACCAGCCAAGUCGCGUGAAGGAUGACUGUCUUAUGGAUUGUAAACUUCUUUUGUAGGGGAAUAAAGACUGGCACGUGUGCUGGAGUGAAU